rnacentral:rRNA from 1 species
UACGUAGGGGGCAAGCGUUGUCCGGAAUCAUUGGGCGUAAAGCGCGUGUAGGCGGUUCGGUAAGUCGGCUGUGAAAGUCCAGGGCUCAACCCUGGGAUGCCGGUCGAUACUGCCGGACUAGAGUUCGGAAGAGGCGAGUGGAAUUCCCGGUGUAGCGGUGAAAUGCGCAGAUAUCGGGAGGAACACCAAUGGCGAAGGCAGCUCGCUGGGACGUUACUGACGCUGAGACGCGAAAGCGUGGGGAGGCAAACAGGG